UUUACCGUGUCAAAGGUAGCAUAAUCAAUUGUCUUUUAAUUAAAGGCUUGUAUGAAUGGUUGAAUGAGAUAUUAACUAUUUUUAUUUUAAUAAAAAUGAAUUUUAAUUUUUAGUAAAAAUACUAAAAUAAAAAAAUUAGACGAGAAGACCCUAUAGAUCUUUAUUUUUAAUAAAAUAAUAUUAAUUUUGAAAAAUUAUAAAUUAUUUAUUUUAUAGAAAAUUUUAUUGGGAAGAUAAUGAAAUUUAAAGAACUUUCAUAAAUUUUAUAAUUAUAAUUAAUCAAUUGAAUAUAUAAUUUAUAUUUUUAAAAUCAAGUUACCUUAGGGAUAACAGCGUAAUUAUUUUUAAGAGUUCUUAUCGAUAAAAUAUUUUGCGUACUGUCCGAUGUUGAGAUUGUAGUACAUUACAUGUGCGCGCCCCA
rnacentral:rRNA from 1 species